rnacentral:lncRNA from 13 species
AGUUUUAGGAGCUUUCUACAUAUUAAGGACACUAAUUCCUGAUCACAUAGACCACUUGCAGCUGUUUUCUCCCGACUGAAAUGGAGUCUCACUAUGUCACCCAAGCUAUUCUUGAACUCCUGGUUUCAAGUGAUCCACUCGCCUCAGCCACCCAAAAUACUGGGAUUACGGGGCCCGUCCGUUGUUUAAGAGUCGUUUAACUUCCAGAAAUGUGUGGAUCUUACAGUUUCACCUCUGUUAUGAGUUUCUCACUUCAUCGUCCUGUGGUUGGAGAAGUUUGUACGAUACCUGCACUUGAAAAUCAACUGAGACUUAAUCUGUGGCCUAACGCUUCCAGGUUUUGCUCAGACGGCGUUCCACUCUUCUCAUCAGACUGUUGUCCCUUUAGCAGCACACUGACAUUCAUCUUUGAGAGAAGUGGAAUGAGGAACCGUGGAGAUUAUGAUCACCCUUCAUGGAUUUCAAGGGGCAGAAGAGUAUUGAUUAAAAUCGAGUUGAUGGUAUGUCUUCCUCAUGGGCAGCUGGGAGAGUAAAAUCGGCCAUAGAAAAUGGAGAUUAUGACAACUGAUAAUCCUGAGUCAAGGGGGUUCAUGGAAAUGGGGAUAGUGCAAUAGCUCCAUCACUGUAAUGGGGUAAUGCGACUGAGCUGAGGGCCGGCUGAGAUGGCGAUGGGCCCCUCUGUGUGUUCAGGGGGAGGU